rnacentral:tRNA from 1 species
GGGAAUGUGGCUUAGUGGUAGAGCACUUGCCUAGCAUGCAUGAAGGCCUGGGUUCGAUUCCUCAGUCCCG